rnacentral:tRNA from 1 species
GAGGGUAUAGCUCAAGCAGUAGAGUGCAUGCUUGGCAUGCACGAGGUCCUGGGUUCAAUUCUCAGUGCCUCCU